CUUCACUUGCCAUCUGAAAACCUGUCGUUCUAGAAUUCAGAUGGGGGCUUUUAUUUUGAAGUGCAUGAUUUUUAUGUCAUUCUGACACCAUCUUUUUUAUAUUGCUUUUUGUUUCUUGAUGAACUCCUUUCAAAGUUUAUUAAUCAAAGGUUAUCAAAUACUAGUAGUUCUUAUUGGCGUGAGUUCUUUUGUGAUAUUUGAUUUUCAUGCGAUAAGACUUUCUUUAACUUCAUGGCUGUUUAAGUUGUUUGCAAGUUUAUUCUAAUUAUCUAAACAAUUUUUAGUCUAUUU
rnacentral:lncRNA from 1 species